GAGCGCGUAGCUCAGAUGGUAGAGCACGUGACUUUUAAUCACGGGGUCCUGGGUUCGAUCCCCAGCGCGCUCA
rnacentral:tRNA from 1 species